rnacentral:lncRNA from 1 species
UGUUGAGUCAUGUAAGAGAGUGAUAUUGAAGUACACCAACUACUGUCUGGUAAUCAAAGGCAUCAAUGAUCAUGGUAUCAUAAUUAUAUUGAAGAAAGAUAGUGGUCGAUAGUGAAGGAGAUACUUCUUUGUCUCCAUGCAUGUAAUGAUGUUUGGAAUAGGAAGAUAUCUUGGUUAGUGAGAGUUAUUGCAAGACUGAAAUAGUACUGAAGGUUGUCAAAUCCUUUAGAGAGAAUUGACGGGCCCUCUUGCUUUCUGCCAGAAAAUGUUCAUAAUUGCCGAUCACAAGAAGGUUAUCAACACAGACAUGGAAGUACAUGACAAUCUUCUUGUGAGAGUAGGUAAAA